ensembl:processed_transcript RIKEN cDNA C630043F03 gene
UGUGGCUCGCUCCGCUUUUCCUUGAAGGAAAUCUCAGUGAAAGUAGCAGAGACUAACCACGGGGUUUCUUGUUGGGGGAGGGAUGCGUCUUGGUAACAAGAACAGAACUCGGCUUUUUGGUAUUGGUUCCCUUUGUGCUACUCUGAAGGUGAGAUUUCAUUCACAACUUUGUCGGAGGCUUAUUUUUCCGCGAGCUGCGGUUCCACGGACGCACGAGAAGUUAACUGUGCCUUUGAUGGGAAGUGCGUGAGUAUCGCAGCAGCUGGCGUGCACACACAUCGUGGCAAGCCUGGAACCGCUGCACGGGCUUCGAAGGAUUUUGCGCCACUUCUUGAAAGGUCGACUUGUCUCCGUUUUAGGAGGAAAGAUCCCUAAGGUGCCGGUGCCGGCAGUCUUUGAUACACGUGUUUCAGGCACAGAGGAGAUGCGCCCCGUGAGAAAUAAUGAGUUCCGGUUUUGGAAUGCUUUCACAUUUGGAUAGGAGGGAAAUGGCCAAGCGUUUUUUGGAGACUGCCUGGAAAGCACUAGUCAGUUUCAAAUGUCUGGAAAUGAAAGGCAAUGGGAUAAAUCAACGUUGAGACCUGAAACCUGCCCCUCCCCCUCCCAAGUUGCUUUGGUUGUUCUCCUGGCAGAAGCGUGGAACUACUAAGAAUUGGUAAAUGAAGCAGCUUGAGGAUCUUGUUUGAUGAGGAUUGACUUAAGAGGAAUUUCGAAGUUUUAAAUAAAGGAGACAUUCUACUAAGCUAAUGCUGACCCGCCGGUUUUGUUUAUUUGUUUCUGUUUUUUUCUGUUUCUCUAACAGAAAAUCUGUAGUAUCGUUACCUGUGUGCCUUCUUUAAAGAGCAGUUCAUGGAGCUGUUUUUUUUUUUUUUUUUUUUUUUUUUAAACCACGAGUGAAUGAUGCAGUUUUAGCUUCUUGGUGGUAACUUCUCUGACAUACAGUUGUGACAGAAGAAACACUAUACAAGUGCCUGUCUGAAGCAAAGAAGGGGGCACCUUUCAUGAAGAAGCCAGCAGUAAUGAAGACCCAACUGUGAGAUAUGAUUGUCCUGCUUGAUAUAGUGCACAACAUGGUGGACAUGUGUAACAGCAAGGCCUUCAACAAGUUGGAAAUCAAGCCAGAGCUAACAACUGCCAGUAGCUGCAUGGCUAGUGGAGAGACGGUAUGCUCAACUCUCUUCCCCAUGCUGGAAUUAGGUCUAGGUUGUGCUUGCCCAGGUGUAGACGCCUGACUCGCCAGCAAGGAAGACGCCACAACAGGAUUCUUCUGCACACGUUUAUUGGGAGAGCUUGAUAGCAGGCGCAAAGACCCUGAGCCCCAAAACUGGCGCUGCUUAUAUAGGCCUAGGAGUGGCGAGUCCGUACCCGAUUGUUUGUGCUUUCAGUGCCUCAUUACAUUCCCCAGGAUGGGCUGUGACUUAGCUCGAAACCCUUAUGCACAUGCGCACAUUGGUUGUUUACCCAAACUUACAGGCGGUAGCCAGCGGUAGCCGGCGCCAUCUUGUCAUGGCGUAUGCGGCUUCCCACACCCAGGUCUUAUAGAUACUGCCUCAAUCGUGGCAAGUGUAUAUGGGAAGCUUCCCUACCAUGUCCACAAUGUUUCCAUGUAGUGACUCACCAUCUCUGGCUCUUACACUCUCUCAACACCCCCCUUCCAUAUGAUCCCCAAACCUUUGAAAGUGGGGGAGUAAUAUAUGUUCUGUUAUAUAGAAAAGGCUGAGCAUUCUGCAGUCUCUUAAUUUACCAGUAUGGGUCUCUGUGUUAAUCAUCUACUACAAAUAGAAACUUCUUUUUAUGUUUUUAUUACUAUUUUUUAAUCAAUUUUUACAGGCCAGUAGUUAUCCCCCUCCUGCUCUGCCCUCUGACUGUUCCUCAUCCUAUACCUCUUCCCCUGAGAAUAGAAACUUCUUGUGAUGGGAGUUGAGAGGUACAUUAAUCUAUGCGUGUAAUGCUGACCAGCCAUUAGGAGUCGGAUUAAUACUACAUCUACUUGGCAGAAUAAUAGUAGUAGGUUCUUUCAAGAGCCUGUGUCCUGACUAGCCAGAGGUUCUUUGCUACAUAAUGGCUUCAGAUAAGGGUUUUAUCUUGUGCAGUGGCCUUUAAAACUAAUGAGAAAAUGUUUGUUUGAUCCCCUGAUGUUUGUGCCACUGUUGCGCUACUAUGUUUCUUAGAGGCAGCAAAAAGAUGGAUGCUAUUUUUCUGAUCCAUCCUAUUAAUCAUUUUAUUGAGAAGUUAAGACCAUGAUUAUUAAGAAUUAUUGAACAAUGUAUAUUUCUGUCAGGCUGUUUUGUGGCAUUUUUUCAGACCUCUUUUAUUCAUUUAUAUAUUUAUUCUUACUGACUGACUGGCUGACUUACUUACUUACUUACUUACUUACUUACUUACUUACUGUUUAAGACAUGGUCUCUCUAUGUAAUCCUAGCUGUCUGUACUCCUCCAACCCUGGAACUCAUUGUGUAGACUUGACUGGCCUUUACUAUCAGAAAUCUAUAUGUUACCACCUCCAGAGUGCUGUGAUUAAAGAUGUACAACA